rnacentral:rRNA from 1 species
GCCUACGGGAGGCAGCAGUAGGGAAUUUUCGUCAAUGGGCGCAAGCCUGAACGAGCAAUGCCGCGUGAACGAGGAAGGUCUUCGGAUCGUAAAGUUCUGUUGAAGGGGAAAAAGAGCGGAGAGAGGAAAUGCUUUCUGAUUGAUAUUACCCUUCGAGGAAGUCACGGCUAACUACGUGCCAGCAGCCGCGGUAAUACGUAGGUGGCGAGCGUUAUCCGGAAUGAUUGGGCGUAAAGGGUGCGUAGGCGGCCUGCUAAGUCUGGAGUGAAAGGUACCGGCUCAACCGGUACAGGCUCUGGCAACUG